UGGAUGAUGUGGUUAAUUCGAUGCAACGCGAAAACCUUACCACCUUUGACAUGUACGGAAUCCUUUAGAGAUAGAGGAGUGCUCGAAAGAGAGCCGUAACACAGGUGCUGCAUGGCUGUCGUCAGCUCGUGUCGUGAGAUGUUGGGUUAAGUCCCGCAACGAGCGCAACCCUUGUCAUUAGUUGCUACAUUCAGUUGGGCACUCUAAUGAGACUGCCGGUGACAAACCGGAGGAAGGUGGGGAUGACGUCAAGUCCUCAUGGCCCUUAUAGGUGGGGCUACACACGUCAUACAAUGGAUGGUACAAAGGGUCGCCAACCCGCGAGGGGGAGGCCAAUCCCAUAAAGCCAUUCGUAGUCCGGAUCGCAGUCUGCAACUCGACUGCGUGAAGUCGGAAUCGCUAGUAAUCGUGGAUCAGAAUGUCACGGUGAAUACGUUCCCGGGUCUU
rnacentral:rRNA from 1 species